UACGAAGGGGGCUAGCGUUGUUCGGAAUUAUUGGGCGUAAAGAGCGUGUAGGCGGCCAGGUAGGUCUGCUGUGAAAACUCGAGGCUCAACCUCGAGACGUCGGCGGAAACCAUCUGGCUAGAGUCCGGAAGAGGAGAGUGGAAUUCCUGGUGUAGCGGUGAAAUGCGCAGAUAUCAGGAAGAACACCCGUGGCGAAGGCAGGUCUCUGGGCCACUACUGACGCUGAGAAGCGAAAGCAUGGGGAGCGAACAGG
rnacentral:rRNA from 1 species